UCAAGGCUUCCUUUGAAUUCCCAUAAAAUUGCACAGCUUAGGCACACAUACUUGUGAGAGGGCCAGCGCUGACAGGGUAGCUGUUCUACAUACAUUCCCCAUCAAAGCUGACGUUUAUGUAUGGACCGUGAGUGUUAUUUCACCUUCAGCCAUCCCAAAGGAAUUUGUGAAUCCCACUCAUACCCGAACGCCAAACCCAAUUUCUGCCUUACACAUUAGUGAAAAAUCGACAGUUUGCUACUGAAGAAACAGAGGAAAUACAUGAGCAACUAGAGUUGGUUUAAUCAGAGAAAAAGAAAGGCCUGUGCGUUACUGCAGAGCUUAAACGGCGAACAGGAACAAAGGGGACGGUACGGCAAAUUAGGAGCGGGAAAAGGAGGGAAUAUCUGAAACAUGGGUGGGUGCUGCGUGGGCGGACAGCCCGUGGUGAUGCCCCUGAGCAACAGGCUGUGUGACAUCACCAGGCAACGCACUGUGACUGCGUAGCCCUCACUGCUCAUACUGGGUUGCAGGCCGAGCCUGGCUCAGUCUGGCUCGUUCCUGGACCCUGCUGAGCAGCUCUGCGAGGCUUGGAGGUCGAGCAAGGUUUUGGCUGUGCUGUGCUGGGUCGUGCCUGGGGCUGCUUGCAGCAUCUCAGUGCCCGGCCCCGCAGUAUCGCAUCCGUUUCCCUGGCCCUGCCUAGUGCAGGCAACCGGGGCCCUACGGAGAGCACCCGCAGCAGCGGAGGUGAGUGGUGCGCAGGCAACGCGGUCCCUCAGGACAGCCAUGUCGGCCCAGUCACGGGCUUGGGAGGGCUUCCUGCUGAGGGACUGCUGAGGACAUUCACACCCUGGGACAGCGAGUGAUUCUG
ensembl:lncRNA